rnacentral:rRNA from 1 species
GACGAACGCUGGCGGCGUGCCUAAUACAUGCAAGUAGGACGCAGUUGCGAACGGGUGAGUAACGCGUAGGUAACUGCCUAUUAGAGGGGGAUAACUAUUGGAAACGAUAGCUAAUACCGCAUACUAGUAGAUGGACCUGAGUUGUAUUAGCUAGUAGGUAGGGUAAUGGCCUACCUAGGCGACGUUACAUAGCCUACCGGAGGUGGUGGUCGGCACAACGGGGACGGAGACACGGGCCAGACUCCGACGGGAGGGAGCAGGAGGGAAUCGUCGGAAAGGGGGGGAACCCUGACCGAGUAACGCCGCGUGAGUGGAGAAGGGUUUCGGAUCGGAAAGCUCUGUUGUUAAGGAAGCGGUACUUAACCAGAAAGGGACGGCUAACUACGUGCCAGCAGCCGCGGUAAUUC